ensembl:lncRNA
GUAAGCUCUUCUCCUGAAAGAUGUGCGCCCAAGCAUCCUUGUGUCCCUUGCCCCUCGUAGGGCCUUGGUCAGUAUUUGCGAGGGAAUAAACAGACGAAGCGAAGCGCCUGCACAGGCCAUCACGAGAGAAGGAUGCUGGAAACAGAGCCAACCUGCUCUCUAGCCUGCAGCCUCCCUUCUUAGCCAUCCUCCCAUCUCCCAACAAAACUGUCACCUUGAGAAGCCAGCCCUGUAACGGCGCUGCCCUAGGAGGUCCUGGUAAGCAACGCGGAACUCACAAGCUACCACGGGAAGAAUUCGGGAAAAGUCAAAAGGAAUGAAGAGACACCAGUCUGUAUGUCCUACCAACCUCCCGAGCCCUUCCGGAUGGAGUCCGUCUUGGCUGAGCGAUGCACACGCCACCAGGGAGGCCCCUGUGUCAGAGUGAUUGGCCAGAGACAGCCCCCAAACUAAUCCCAUCACCAUAAAACCCAAGGCUCCGAGCCAGCUGGCAGAGCAGUUCCCCGGGGCUCCCUGACCCGCCAGCUCUCCACCCAGGCGCCCCUUUCCAACAACGCCUCUUGCUUUGUCAGCAUGUGGUCUCCCCGGGCAAGUCAUUUCCAAGUGUCACACAGGAGCCCACCUCUGGAAGGAGUCCCCCUCCUGCAACAGAAGGCUGGAGCCAGAGUGGGAAGCAGAGGGCACCCACGAGGGAUGCGUUCCAGGAAAGGAGAGCCUUGCACUUUUCUGUUCCACUGUGGCACAUCCACGCUUUGGCUCUCCUGUGCUGAAGGCAUGACUGAGGAUCUGGAACCCACCGUUAGGUUUCUGUCCCUUUGUCUCGUGCUCCUGUCCCGAAUAUUUUCCAGCCAGGUCUGAAGUCAUUCCAAUUAGAGGCAUGGUUCCUGCGUUUAAGAUAACCUAAAGUUAUCUUAGAGUUGAUCAUAGCCUGAAGUGUAUUAUCAAGACUAUACAUUUUCUAUAACACGGGGAACUCCGCUUAACAUUCUGUAAGGGUUAGAUAGCAUCACUGGCUCAAUGGACAAGAAUUUCAGCAAACUCUGGGAGAUAACGGAGGGCAGAAGGCGUGCCGUGGUUCAUAGGGUCGCAGAGUGUCAGAUGGGACUUAAUAACUGAAUGACAACAACCAAUGAGAAAAGAAUUUGAAAAAGAAUGGAUACUUGUAUAUGUAUAGGAUCGCUUUGCUCUGCAGUUGAAACUAUCACAACAUUAAUCAACUAUAUUCUAAUAUAAAAAUUAAAAAAAAAAACAGUUAGUCAUGAAUCCAC